rnacentral:misc_RNA from 1 species
GAUGAAGAACGCAGCGAAAUGCGAUACGUAAUGUGAAUUGCAGAAUUCAGUGAAUCAUCGAGUCUUUGAACGCACAUUGCGCCCUCUGGUAUUCCGGAGGGCAUGCCUGUCCGAGCGUCAUUGCUGCCCUCAAGCACGGUUUGUGUGUUGGGCCCCGUCCUCCUUCCGGGGGACGGGUCCGAAAGGCAGCGGCGGCACCGCGUCCGGUCCUCAAGCGUAUGGGGCUUUGUCACUCGCUUUGUAGGCCUGGCCGGCGCUUGCCGAUCAACCAAACUUUUUAUCAGGUUGACCUCGGAUCAGGUAGGGAUACCCGCUGAACUUAAGCAUAUCAAUAAGCGGAGGA